CUGAAAACCUCCCAAUGCCCGCACCUGCCAAGCAGCAUGCUGAUUUAAACAUUGUGAAAAUAUGCUCUCGCAUGCUGCUUGGCAGGUGCGGGCAUUGGGAGGUUUUCAGCUUCCCU